UACGUAGGGUGCGAGCGUUGUCCGGAAUUAUUGGGCGUAAAGAGCUCGUAGGCGGCCUGUCGCGUCGGAUGUGAAAGCCCGGGGCUUAACCCCGGGUCUGCAUUCGAUACGGGCAGGCUAGAGUGUGGUAGGGGAGAUCGGAAUUCCUGGUGUAGCGGUGAAAUGCGCAGAUAUCAGGAGGAACACCGGUGGCGAAGGCGGGUCUCUGGGCCGAUACUGACGCUGAGGAGCGAAAGCGUGGGGAGCGAACAGG
rnacentral:rRNA from 1 species